ACUAAAUUUAUAUUACAAACAAUCAUAUAUAAAAAAAAUAAUAUCGAGAAACGUAAAGAAUAGAAUACUAUAUCUAAUAGUAUAGUAACCUUACAUAAAUAACUGCAAUAAAAAAUACAUACUAUACUAUAAUUCUGUCGAAUAUAGUAUAGUCUGCAACUUUAUCUUCUUCACCUCAUCCUUUUUUUCCAGACAUAAUGAUACACAUUUACUGGUCCACCAUUGUUAUUCUUCAUCACCAUAUAAAUUCUAAAAGCAUGACACAUCCAUAUAUUCACCGGUCAAACGUCAAACAUUAAUUGAGGUCCCAUUCCAUCGUUUUCACACGACCAUCGUUCUUAGAAUCUGAGGAGCAUCUUUUCCGUCACCGAUCAAGCUUUCGUAAACGGUCUUCUUCAUAACACAACGUCGCCAAUGAAGCUAUCGAUGACAUCUCAGUCUCCUUCAAUGAAACUAUCCACCUUCCCCAAUUUUAGUAAAUAAAAACUUACGAGAGAGUGAUGUGUGAAAAGUAUAAAGCCACGAUUUAUUGUCUUACAUUAACCAUUUAUUAGUUAAUAUAAUUCUUGUUGCAGGUUGCACAGAUUAUGAAGAAGGGCAUAAUCGCAUUAUUAUAUAAAAUACAUUGUUUAUGUGUGGAACUUAGGUCAAUUUGUUAGAUAUUGAAUUAUAAUAUUUUUUUGUGAUAUAGAGUGCAAUUUCUCUUAGAUAUUUAUUUAAUAAAUAAUUUAUUUAUUGUUCUCUCUCCUCACCGUUUUUCUCUCUAGUCAAACUUUCAGAUCUGAGAGCGUGCUGCUCCGGCCACCGGCGAACGUUAGCGUCAGCGCGCCGGAGGCGUCCCCCUCCUUUCAUCUCGCCUUUCCUUUGCUUCGUCUCUCCUUCUGUCGCAGGCCUCGCUGGGUUAGUUUGUUGUUGUGGUGCUUCAAUCGCCGUCGCCUUUAGGUCUGAGAGGUAACUGGAGUCGUCAUCGUGGAUCCGUUUCUGUAGUAAUAUCGAGGUGAGCUCAGUGGUGGGUGGAGCAGAGUUGGAUUUUAGGGUUUAGCCGUUCAGAUCCCCUUCCGUUUUCAGAUCUGAGCGUGUGUUGGUGCAAGCGGUGGCGAUAGAGGCUUUGUGUCGGGUCUCAGCCUGGUUUGAGUUCCGGAGAGUUGUUGAUGCGGCUUGCAUCUUCUCCGGUUAGAUGAGCUCUGGAGGUUCUUUUACUCAGGAGCGCGUGCAGGGGAAUGGCUUCGCUGUGUGGCGGUGCCUCUUUUCUGGUUAUGGCGUGUGGUGUUUCGAGUUGCCGUUCUGGUUCAAGCUACUUCGGCCAUUCUCUUCUCCUUCUGUCUCUCCCGCGACAAUUUGUUCAUAGACCGCCUUCGUGGAAGUGGCGUCCUUCCGCUUGGUGUUUGCUCGUGGGUUUCAUUGUUUAUUUUGUUCUCAUUGUCACCGAGACCAUCUCUACAUUAUUAUGUGGUGGUCCGUCUCUUGGUUCUCAGGAGCGGUUUUAGGAGUGGUGCCUUGUUAAGCCGUGUUGCCUCCGGUUUCUUGGUGCCUUGGUGACUCCUACUGUAUUGACAGCUAAUCUUAGUGUUUCCUCUGGUGCUUAUCAGUGGAGGCAGAGUUUGUUUUCUAACCAUCUUGUGCAGGUUCUCGAGCUUCGGUGGACAAUGGUCAGCGACUUUCACAAAUCCGUCUUGGUAAGUCUCGAGCUUCAUUGAUAGCUUGGGAUGCGGCGGUGAUGAGAAAGUGGAUAUUUCGGUCUUCCGCCCCGAUUAACCAGAUCAGCCAGCGACACAAAUGUCGGGUCCGGGGUUAUGACAAGCGAUUCGGCUGUGUAUCCUUCUUUUGUGUUGGGUCCGGAGAAGCGAGGAACAAAAAAGAGUGACAGGAACGAUCAAAUGCAAACAUAACCAUAUUAGAUAGAUACAACUGGGCAUGAAUGAGGACACAGAUUUAUUACGGGAUUUUUACCCGGUUGACCAGGACGGAGAAACCGGCAAUAUCCGUUUAAUCAGCAAUAGUUUCUAACGGAGUUGUCCCACAAACUACCGGCAACAAACUCCUCUAAAGCCUUUCCUAAAACCCUAAGAUACACCAUCGUUUUCCGUUUCCCGGUAAACACAAAAAACGGCGUUCACUAUGAACUUCUUGCCGUACUUUGAGAUGUUUUUUGGUCAAUGUAUCCCGGCGAGAAGAAGUAGAAAUUCAGAGGUCGGGACCAUUACAGCUGGACUCCAUUGUUAUUGGUUGACACGUGUAAUUGGUGUUAUACUAGUUUGGUGCCUUCACGUAUAGUUUAUUUUCUUCCAACCCUUUUGCUGGAUAUCAUCCAUGAAUAUCAAAUGAGUGUAUAUAUAUAAUCAACAUUUUUUUGGGUGUGAACACCUUAUGUUUU